GGAUGCGAACAUACCAGCACUAAAGCACCCGAUCCCAUCAGAACUCCGAAGUUAAGCGUGCUGGGGUGAGAGUCGUACUAGGAUGGGUGUCCUCGUGUUGCAUUCC
rfam:Triticum aestivum genome assembly, contig: Triticum_aestivum_CS42_TGACv1_scaffold_466691_5DS